CAAUAGCGUAUAUUAAAGUUGUUGCAGUUAGAACGCUCGUAGUCGGAUUUCGGGGCGGGCCGACCGGUCUGCCGAUGGGUACGCACUGGUCGGCGCGUCCUUCCUUCCGGAGGCCGUGCCUACUCUUAACUGAGCGGGGGCGGGAGACGGAUCGUUUACUUUGAAAAAAUCAGAGUGUUUCAAGCAGGCAGCUCGCUCUUGCAUGGAUUAGCAUGGGAUAAUGAAAUAGGACUUUGGUGCUAUUUUGUUGGUUUCGAACACCGAAGUAAUGAUUAAAAGGGACAGUCAGGGGCACUCGUAUUCCGCCGAGAGAGGUGAAAUUCUCAGACCAGCGGAAGACGAACCACUGCGAAAGCAUUUGCCAGGGAUGUUUUCACUGA
rnacentral:rRNA from 1 species